rnacentral:rRNA from 1 species
CCUACGGGAGGCAGCAGUAGGGAAUAUUGGACAAUGGGUGCGAGCCUGAUCCAGCCGUGCCGCGUGCAGGAAGAAGGCCUUCUGGGUUGUAAACUGCUUUUGCCGGGGGAUAAAAGACCCAUGCGUGGGGAAUUGAAGGUACCCGGUGAAUAAGCCACGGCUAACUACGUGCCAGCAGCCGCGGUAAUACGUAGGUGGCGAGCGUUGUCCGGAUUUAUUGGGUUUAAAGGGUGCGUAGGCGGCCCCGUAAGUCAGUGGUGAAAUACGGCAGCUCAACUGUCGAGGUGCCAUUGAUACUGCGGGGCUUGAGUACAGUCGAGGUAGGCGGAAUUGACGGUGUAGCGGUGAAAUGCUUAGAUAUCGUCAAGAACACCGAUAGCGAAGGCAGCUUGCUAGGCUGUAACUGACGCUGAGGCACGAAAGUGCGGGGAUCAAACAGGAUUAGAUACCCUGGUAGUCCGCACAGUAAACGAUGGUCACUCGGUGUUGGCGGUACACGGCCAGCGCCUUAGCGAAAGCGUUAAGUGACCACCGNGGGAGUACGCCGCGAGGAGAACGUACGAAUUAGAGUAGUUAGGCGUGAGACGNGCCGACGGACGACGACGAGGGAGGAGG